rnacentral:rRNA from 1 species
AUUGAACGCUGGCGGCAGGCCUAACACAUGCAAGUCGAGCGGUAGAGAGGUGCUUGCAUCUCUUGAGAGCGGCGGACGGGUGAGUAAUGCCUAGGAAUCUGCCUAGUGGUGGGGGAUAACGUUCGGAAACGGACGCUAAUACCGCAUACGUCCUACGGGAGAAAGCGGGGGAUCUUCGGACCUCGCGCCAUUAGAUGAGCCUAGGUCGGAUUAGCUAGUAGGUGAGGUAAUGGCUCACCUAGGCGACGAUCCGUAACUGGUCUGAGAGGAUGAUCAGUCACACUGGAACUGAGACACGGUCCAGACUCCUACGGGAGGCAGCAGUGGGGAAUAUUGGACAAUGGGCGAAAGACCUGAUCCAGCCAUGCCGCGUGUGUGAAGAAAGGUCUUCGGAUUGUAAAGCACUUUAAGUUGGGUAGGAAGGG